rnacentral:lncRNA from 1 species
CUCCCAAAGUGCUGGGAUUACAGGCGUGAGCCACAUGAAUAUUUUUAACAGCUUUAUUUAUAGUAGCCCAAAACUGGAGCUAAUUUCUUUUUCUUUUCAAGUAAAAGUCCCACUUCAUACUGGUUAUUCUUUUCAGAAACCAUUUGUCACACUAAGCUGUGUGGUGUAGUUCACAAAAUUAGGGUUUGACCCUUGAUAUUUUAGGGGGGAUAUUUGAUGUGUAAUAUUUAUAGCACCAGUGUAAAUGUUAGAAUCACUGUCUAUAAAACAUGUUAAUGAAAGACCUAAAAAAACUAAACAAUAUACAAAAUUUUUUACAAAUCCAACAUUCAAAAACUAGUCAGUUCAUAUCUAGAGGCAAAAAAUAAAAAUAGUGUAUAUCUUAUUUGAAAACAUUUAAUGUAGUUAAAGUCUUUAAAUGAUUUCACAUUGUUUUAAUGGUCUUUGAAUGACCCUUGCAGUUAGAAAUACAUUUAAACUCAAUUUUAAAAUUAUAAAAUUAUAGCUAUAUCUUCUGAUAAAUUGCAUCUACUUUCCUGGGGAUUAGAAAGCUUGAAUGAGGGGAAAAGCAGAGGUGUGUGCCCAGUUGCUCCAAUUUUAAGUCUAUGAACAAUUUUGAGUCUAUGAACUGCUUUAGGUUUCAUUUUUAUACAUACCAUACCAAAUAGGACAUACUCUUCUCAGGAUAUAGUCAUUUUUCAUUUGUGACUUUCUAAUCAUCCAGAUAGAAUGAGGUGAGUCUGAGUAGUUUUGUUCCUCUAAUAUUUUUUGAAAGGGGAUAAUGAUAUUCUUAUUGCUCACUUUAUAUAUGUAUAUUCUUUCUGUAAAAUGUUCUUAAGAUUUUAUACAAAUGAAAUUAUGUUAUACAUACCUUUUGUGUCUGGCUUUCUUCACUCAGCA